rnacentral:rRNA from 1 species
UGAUGUUAGCGGCGGACGGGUGAGUAACACGUGGGUAACCUGCCUGUAAGACUGGGAUAACUCCGGGAAACCGGGGCUAAUACCGGAUGGUUGUCUGAACCGCAUGGUUCAGACAUAAAAGGUGGCUUCGGCUACCACUUACAGAUGGACCCGCGGCGCAUUAGCUAGUUGGUGAGGUAACGGCUCACCAAGGCGACGAUGCGUAGCCGACCUGAGAGGGUGAUCGGCCACACUGGGACUGAGACACGGCCCAGACUCCUACGGGAGGCAGCAGUAGGGAAUCUUCCGCAAUGGACGAAAGUCUGACGGAGCAACGCCGCGUGAGUGAUGAAGGUUUUCGGAUCGUAAAGCUCUGUUGUUAGGGAAGAACAAGUGCCGUUCAAAUAGGGCGGCACCUUGACGGUACCUAACCAGAAAGCCACGGCUAACUACGUGCCAGCAGCCGCGGUAAUACGUAGGUGGCAAGCGUUGUCCGGAAUUAUUGGGCGU